GUUAAAUAGCACGGUGGAAAGGGUGGUUAGAAGAAAAAUAUAAUUGGUUGUAGCUUUGAGCUAGUGGUAAAAAACUAAUCUCACAAGAAACUCUUAUCUCCAAAUUAAACAUUUGAAGCCACGAAAACUAAGGCCUAAACCAGGAUUAGAUACCCUGUUAUACUUAGACGUGAACAACCUUAAGCACCAGAGAACUACGAACCUAAAGUUUAAAACUCAAAGGACUUGGCGGUUUUCCAAACCUCCCUGGAGGAGCUUGCCAUUGAAUCGAUAAUCCACGAAACACCUCACCAACUUUUGUAACAACAGCUUGUAUACCAUCGUCGUAAGUCUACUUCUUGAGAAAGUUGACUCUAAGGAAUAACCCUAGACGUCAGAUCAAGGUGCAGCUUAUAAGUUGGGAAUAGGUGAGCUACAAUGUUUGAAUAAACCAGUGAAAAAAGGAAUGAAAUGCCCUUUAGAAAUUGGAUUCAGCAGUAAGUCCCAUGAAGACAAUGGGA
rnacentral:rRNA from 1 species